AGGUUAAUGACAAAGCGCCCGUAGCGGUGAAAACAGGCAGAUAGUAAAGACGCCGUACUUCUUUUGUUAAAACAAGCAUUCUUGUAGGCUAGAGCCGCGCCAUCCUUGGCGCGGACCCUU
rnacentral:ncRNA from 1 species